UGCUCGAGUGGCGAACGGGUGAGUAACACGUGGGUGAUCUGCCCUGCACUUCGGGAUAAGCUUGGGAAACUGGGUCUAAUACCGGAUAGGACCAUCGUUUAGUGUCGGUGGUGGAAAGUUUUUUCGGUGUGGGAUGAGCUCGCGGCCUAUCAGCUUGUUGGUGGGGUAAUGGCCUACCAAGGCGUCGACGGGUAGCCGGCCUGAGAGGGUGUACGGCCACAUUGGGACUGAGAUACGGCCUAG
rnacentral:rRNA from 1 species